UUUUUUGGGAUUCUUUGGAAGGGUUAAUUCCGGAGUGAUUCCCUUUGGGUCCAACUUCCCCCCCGAGUUUAUUUUACCUUGUUGCUUCGGGGGGCCCGCCUCACGGCCGCCGGGGGGCACCCGCCCCCGGGCCCGCGCCCGCCGAAGACACCAUUGAACUCUGUUUGAAGAUUGCAGUCUGAGCAGAUUAGGUAAAUCAGUUAAAACUUUCAACAACGGAUCUCUUGGUUCCGGCAUCGAUGAAGAACGCAGCGAAAUGCGAUAAGUAAUGUGAAUUGCAGAAUUCAGUGAAUCAUCGAGUCUUUGAACGCACAUUGCGCCCCCUGGUAUUCCGGGGGGCAUGCCUGUCCGAGCGUCAUUGCUGCCCUCAAGCACGGCUUGUGUGUUGGGCUUCGCCCCCCGGCUCCCGGGGGGCGGGCCCGAAAGGCAGCGGCGGCACCGCGUCCGGUCCUCGAGCGUAUGGGGCUUUGUCACCCGGUGGCUAGGACCGGCCGCCGCCGAACGCGAACCACACGGUCAGAACUAAUACCUUACUGCGGUGGGGAAGCGCUUGGACCCAGAGGGCCCUCACUCGGUAAUGUCCUU
rnacentral:rRNA from 1 species